GCCUGUAGCCAUACCAUCCUGAAUACAUCUGAUCUCAUCUGAUCUCAGAAGCUUAGCAGGGUCAGGCCUGCUUAGUACUUGAAUGGGAGACCACCUGACAAUAUCAAGUGCACCUGCU